ensembl:lncRNA
AUGUGUCCUUGUUCUACAAUUCACAUCAUUAGUGGAACUUGCCUUUAUAUGAAGAAUUAUUUUUCAUAUUUAGGAAAAAAGCUUGUGUCGGCUGUCUUCUCUGAGCAGCGGUGUUGUGAUCACCGGCCUCAGUAUAAUAAAGAGUACACUUCACAUCCUAGAACUCAUAAAAAUAAAUGCAGAUUUGACAGAACUACACACCCAUCUGAGGCCUACCUGUUUUAAUUCAUGAUCACCCCGGAUACUUCUACAACUAACCCGCCUGGUGUCUGAUGCUGAUGCAGUCUGGGCACUAGUAUCUGUUGGCUUGCUGACUAUCACUGACGAUUAAGUACUUCUCCAAAUCUUGACGUCUUCUGCCAUCAUUGUUCAGGGUAGUACUGCAAAGAACAGUCUCCAGGGUCUACCUCCAACAUUUGCUUCCGGACGGCCAUGUGCUACGUUUGCAUCACUGCUACAUGUGGUUUACAUACAGGUUACCCUGAUACUGUGAAGAACACCUACAAUAUGAUGCUUGACUUGGGACAGAAAAAAAAACAUUGCCAACUUGUGUGGCCAACUCAUUGCCAUAUUUGAAAUCAUUGUACCACUACCUCCAUUGUUUAACAUAACCAAAACCAGAUUGUUUUUGCUUUGUUUCAAAAUUUUUGUAAUACAAGUUAAAACUACAUUGAAAAAAAGAUAUCAUCUUUAACUUUGAACUGUCACUUCAUUUUAUUUAAUUAUGUGUGUGAAGAAUAGAACGUUGUCAUGAAUUUGUAAUAGAUUUUUGAAGCAUUUAAGUUACUAGAGUAACGGUAACGAGUAACGUUUUUUUUUCAGGCAAUCGGUUUGCAUGCUUUUUUUCAAUAAGGUUUACGCAUUAUAAUUUACAGUGCAGAGAACCUCCCUGCCCAGUGAACACUAUUUAGAUAAAUUCAGAACACUGUAACUGUAAUAAAGUACUGUUACUAUAGUUACUAUACUGUACUACACUGUGUGAUUCUUUCAGCUCUCUCUCCAGUGCUAGGAUGCAUUUUUAAAGCAGUCACCUGUGCUCCUGUUCAUAAUUUCCUGAGAUGCUACUGAAUGCUUGCUUAUGGAUAAUUGUGUGUUAUUUGAAUUCACACUGUGACAAUAGAGUUAACUAUUUGAUGUGUUUCUGUUUUAUGAAUGAGAAACAUAAAAUAUCUGUAAAAUGAGGCCAACUUUGGAGAAAUCAUAAAAAAAUUGUAAUGUAUGUAUAUAUGCAUUCCAGUAUAAUAUAUAGCCAAGCUAGAAUAUUAUAAUUUCUAAACUACUAAAUUAUUAAAACAUUACAUGAUUGAAGUGUUUACUCAUGGUCCAUUGUUAAUUUCGAAUUUGGCCUUUGGAUUUAACUAUUAAUGCAUUAAGCCAUUUUUCAAUUUAUGUUUUCUGGUGGACAAAACACUUAAACUUAUACAAAUGUUGUCUUUUUGGUUUAUACUGUCCUUAUCUUGGUGCCAUUAUUGAUAUAUGAUGCUUACAAGAAAGCUGUGAAUUGGUUGUUCCUGGUUGUUGUUUUACAUGUGCACUUCUAAAUAACAUUGUAAGUUAAUUGAUUAGAUAUACUGCAGUGUAAUUUUAAUUUUACUCAUCAUAUUUUCGUCAGCAUUCUGAAGAUUAUGAAAUAUUUGGGGAUUUGGAGGAGCUAAAUUGAUAUAAAAUACAGGUUUUUCUUUCUUUUUACUCAGAGAAAAAAAAAACUUACCUACACUUAAGACAUUUGACAAAAUCACACC